GCCCUUUGUUCCGCAGCGGCGCGAGGGGCGCAUGGGACUCGGCCUGCGCGCGGCAGCUGCUCCGCAGCCAUGUGAUGGCGCUGGGCGCAGCAGCGGUUCACUGCAAGGUCUCUGCAGGGUUCGGGCAUGUCAGCUGAGGAACGUCAGGCAGUGCAGGGACUUGUAAUGAGGCUGGCCCCGGGCGUCGGUCCUCUCUGAGAAGGCUUUGUUUCCUCCUGCUCCUCCAAUGAGCAAUCCAGCUUCGCUGCACAUCCACCCGCGGCCUAGCGUGCGGGUGGGGCGGGCGGGGGGCGCACAAGUAUGCGGAGAAGGGAAAACAGGUCUGAGGCUUCAAGUCCAGGCAGGACGCCCGCGAGUCAUCUUACCGUCAAGUGGGCAGCACCUCGCCUCUGGUUAGUCAGAGCCACAGAAGAAAUGACUAAAUUCCUAGGAGAAGAGAAACACAGGAUGGACUUCACUUGGACUUUAUUCCAUCUGGUAGACCUGAUUCGUUUCUGUUCUCUUGUGGCUCAGAGUGCAGGUUUAAUCAGAGAUCUCCACCAGGUGCAACUAUAAGCUUUGGAAAUAACACAGAGGCACCCACAGAAGAACUCUAAAGUGCAAAGAGGAAAGAACCCGGCCUUACACCCAGGACCCAGAAGAGGAGCUGCACAGAGCAAGGUCUUAACAGGCCCAGCCAACAGGAAAUGCUUGACCCAGGAUUGAACACACUGGAUGGGUCCAGCAGCAAAGUGGAGACUACAGAAGUUAGGAUCAGUGGACCUAAUGACGACCUAUCGAAUAUACCUUAUAUAAACAAAUGAUAGAAAAAGAUAGGGAAAAAAAUAGAGAGAGGGUCUCAGGAACUAUAGAGAAAAUAGAAAAAGUUUCAACUUUCACAGUAUCAGAGUUGUAGAAAGACAUAAGAAAAUGAGUGGGUUCAAGAGGAUAUUCAAAGAAAGAAUACGAGCAAAUCUCUCCAAGUUCGGAAGAUAAAAGACAUAAGCCUCCAUUUUCCAAAAGUUAAGCAAAACCCAAAUGGGAAAAACCCAUGGAAUCCAUGCCAGUACACAUCAUAAUUAAAUGUCUGAAAACCAA